rnacentral:rRNA from 1 species
GGGAGUAGCAAUACAACUGGUGGCGACCGGCGCACGGGUGAGUAACGCGUAUGCAACCUUUCAUAUGGAGGGGAAUAACCCGGCGAAAGUCGGACUACCCUCGCAUAAAACAGGGGCACCGCAUGGUGCUAUUUGUUAAAGAAAUUCGCUGAUAGAUGGGCAUGCGUUCCAUUAGGUAGUUGGUGAGGUAACGGCUCACCAAGCCGACGAUGGAUAGGGGAACUGAGAGGUUGGUCCCCCACACUGGUACUGAGACACGGACCAGACUCCUACGGGAGGCAGCAGUGAGGAAUAUUGGUCAAUGGGCGAGAGCCUGAACCAGCCAAGUCGCGUGAAGGAAGAAGGAUCUAUGGUUCGUAAACUUCUUUUGCAGGGGAAUAAAGUGCGGGACGUGUCCUGUUUUGUAUGUACCCUGAGAAUAAGGAUCGGCUAACUCCGUGCCAGCAGCCGCGGUAAUACGGAGGAUCCGAGCGUUAUCCGGAUUUAUUGGGUUUAAAGGAUGCGUAGGUGGUUUUAUAAGUCAGCGGUGAAAGUUUGCAGCUUAACUGUAAAAAUGCCGUUGAAACUGUAAGACUUGAGUGUAAAUGAGGUAGGCGGAAUGCGUGGUGUAGCGGUGAAAUGCAUAGAUAUCACGAAGAACUCCGAUUG